AGGACGAACGUUGGCGGCGUGCCUAACACAUGCAAGUCGAACGUGGCUUAAGUUUACUUAAGUCUAGUGGCGGACGGCAGAGUAAUGCACAGGAACGUACCUCGAGGUGAGGGAUAGCCCUUCGAAAGAAGGGGUAAUACCACAUGUGCUCGCAAGAGCAAAGCCGCAAGGCGCCAUGAGAACGGCCUGUGUCCUAUCAGGUAGUUGGUGAGGUAAAGGCUCACCAAGCCUAUGACGGGUAGCUGGUCUGAGAGGAUGAUCAGCCUGAUCGGGACUGAGACACGGCCCGAACUCCUACGGGAGGCAGCAGUUGGGAAUUUUGCACAAUGGACGAAAGUCUGAUGCAGCGACGCCGCGUGGAGGAUGAAGGUCUUCGGAUCGUAAACUCCUUUUACUUGGGAAUAAUUUAAUGAAGGUACCAAGUGAAUAAGCACCGGCUAACUCCGUGCCAGCAGCCGC
rnacentral:rRNA from 1 species